rnacentral:rRNA from 1 species
GAUGAACGCUGGCGGCGUGCCUAAUACAUGCAAGUCGAGCGAACAGAUGAGGAGCUUGCUCCUCUGACGUUAGCGGCGGACGGGUGAGUCACACGUGGAUAACCUACCUAUAAGACUGGGAUAACUUCGGGAAACCGGAGCUAAUACCGGAUAAUAUAUUGAACCGCAUGGUUCAAUAGUGAAAGACGGUUUUGCUGUCACUUAUAGAUGGAUCCGCGCCGCAUUAGCUAGUUGGUAAGGUAACGGCUUACCAAGGCAACGAUGCGUAGCCGACCUGAGAGGGUGAUCGGCCACACUGGAACUGAGACACGGUCCAGACUCCUACGGGAGGCAGCAGUAGGGAAUCUUCCGCAAUGGGCGAAAGCCUGACGGAGCAACGCCGCGUGAGUGAUGAAGGUCUUCGGAUCGUAAAACUCUGUUAGUAGGGAAGAACAAAUGUGUAAGUAACUAUGCACGUCUUGACGGUACCUAAUCAGAAAGCCACGGCUAACUACGUG